ensembl:lncRNA
CUGUGAACAGGCUCGGUGAAUUUGAGCCAACUCGCUAAACGAACCGAAUCAGACAGCUCACCGUUAUUGUGUUUUACUAGAGCGGAGGAUCGUGUGUAUCACAGAGAGGCUGGAUUCUCGUUCAUCUGUGUUUGUUUGGUCUUACAUCGCUGAUCCCAUCUGUCUCCACCAACAGUAAAUACGCAUUACAUGGUGAAUUUCAUUUGUUAGCUUCAGUCCUGCUCUGCCAAAUCUCA